rnacentral:tmRNA from 1 species
GGGGGUGAACAGGGUUCGACAGGAAUAUUUCGGGUAAUGACUGCAGGCCGUGGGUGGUCGGAGGCCACGCAAAAAUUCGACCAAACUAUAAGUGCAAACACUUAUGCAUUUGCAGCCUAAAUAAUGGCCGCAACGCUUCUGUUUGACGCCUAUAGAACGGAAAGCGUUAAAUUAGGCUUACCUUGAAAGAAUGAAGCUCUAACAUUAUUCAAGGGAAACCUUAAAUCGGAGACCAUUUCCAGUGUCCGGUUUGGAGACAAACUGGAAGUGUUUUUAAAGUCCGAACUAAGCCUGUAGAUGUCUUAUCAGUUUAUUUUUGGACCGGGGUUCAAUUCCCCGCACCUCCACCA